rnacentral:lncRNA from 1 species
AAGUGCACGCCGCGCGGAGGACGAAGAGGCUGCACGCACAGCCGCUGCCGGGGGUCGGGGCCAAGUGCGCGCCUCGCCGAGGACGAAGAGGCUGGCGUGCCCGGUGGCUCGGCUAGCUCCCGGGUCCCGGCCCCGCCUGGAGGAUGCGGCUGUGGGGGAAUGGGAGCGGCCGGACCUCCCAGCCUGACAGUGCAUCAAGAGCUUUGCGGAGCCUACAGCCCGGAUGGGACGACUGAGGCCCUCCCGCUGGCGAGCUGGCCGAGGGCUCGUCCCUCUCCAGCUAAAGCGCCAGCUUACGAUACAGCCAAACUGCCGGCUCUCAUCGGCUGUGGGAGCAGGAGGCCCCCAGGGGUAAAUCCCGGAGCCUCGUCUCUGAAGCCUGGCGCUUGUGUCUCAGAAGGUGGCCAUCAUCGAAUCCACUGAGGGCGCAAAUAGAACAAAAAGGUGAAGAAAAGGUGAAUUCUCUCCUUUCUUGAGCUGGGACAUCCAACUUCUCAGACAUCAGAGCUCCUGGAGGCCUUCAGACUCCGAGACAUUACACCAUUGGCUCACCUGGUCCUCAGGUCUUUGGACUUGGAAUGAAUUACACCAUUGGCUUUCCAGGUCUUCCAGCUUGCAGAUGGCAGAUUGUGGGACUUUUCAGCCUCCAUAACUUUGUCAUCCAAUUCCCAUAAUAAAUCGCCUCUUAUAUCUGUA